rnacentral:rRNA from 1 species
CGCGACCGUAAGGUGGUCGCAGAAUAAGGGCUGGGCAAGACCGGUGCCAGCCGCCGCGGUAAUACCGGCAGCCCGAGUGAUAGCCAAUUUUAUUGGGCUAAAGCGUCCGUAGCUGGCCGAACAGGUCCGUCGGGAAAUCCACCCGCUUAACGGGUGGGCGUCCGGCGGAAACCAGUCGGCUUGGGGCCGAGAGACCAAAGGGGUACGUCCGGGGGUAGGAGUGAAAUCCUGUAAUCCUGGACGGACCACCGGUUGCGAAAGCGCCUUUGGAGAACGGACCCGACAGUGAGGGACGAAAGCUAGGGUCUCGAACCGGAUUAGAUACCCGGGUAGUCCUAGCCGUAAACGAUGCUCGCUAGGUGUGACGCAGGCUACGAGCCUGCGUUGCGCCGUAGGGAAGCCGAGAAGCGAGCCGCCUGGGAAGUACGUCCGCAAGGAUGAAACUUAAAGGAAUUGGCGGGGGAGCACUACAACCGGAGGAGCCUGCGGUUUAAUUGGACUCAACGCCGGACAUCUCACCGGCACCGACAACGUGCAGUGACGGUCAGUUUGAUGAGCUUACCUGAGCCGUUGAGAGGAGGUGCAUGGCCGCCGUCAGCUCGUACCGUGAGGCGUCCUGUUAAGUCAGGCAACGAGCGAGACCCGCGUCCAUAAUUGCCAGCAGCACCCUUGUGGUGGCUGGGUACAUUAUGGAGACUGCCGUCGCUAAGACGGAGGAAGGAACGGGCAACGGUAGGUCAGUAUGCCCCGAAUGUGCCGGGCGACACGCGGGCUACAAUGGCCAGGACAGUGGGACGCUACCCCGAGAGGGGACGCUAAUCUCCUAACCCUGGUCGUAGUUCGGAUUGCGGAUUGAAACUCAUCCGCAUGAAGCUGGAUUCGGUAGUAAUCGCGUUUCAGAAGAGCGCGGUGAAUACGUCCCUGCUCCUUGCACACACCGCCCGUCAAAUCACCCGAGUGAGGUCGGGGAUGAGGCCGACGCAACGU